AAAAAAGAUAUUUUACAGGUGCUUUUUAAAAAAAUUUAAAGGUUUGAUGAGCGAUUCGAUCUCAAGACUAUCUUGUGUGGCUAAAAUACAAGAAGGUAGCAAGUACUCGAGACGUUGAGGAAAUAAGAGAAGAAUGAAGCUCAUUCACUUGAUUAUAUUUGCAAGUGUGUUUCUGUCAGGACAUUCUCAGUCGACUUCCUGUGACGGCAAAGCUGAUAUUCUGCUUAUUGUCGAUUCUUCUGGAAGUAUUGGGGCAGACAACUUUGAAAAAAUGAAACAAUUCCUUGCGAACUUUGUCGUGCAAUUUUCUAUAGGCAAAGAUUUCAUUCAAUUUAGUCAGAUCGUCUUCAGCUCAGAUAGCAAGAUUUCGUUCGGUUUCAACAAAUAUUUAACCGGUUCAUCUUUAC
rnacentral:sRNA from 1 species